rnacentral:rRNA from 1 species
GAUGAACGCUAGCUACAGGCUUAACACAUGCAAGUCGAGGGGUAGCAGGGUAGCAAUACCGCUGACGACCGGCGCACGGGUGAGUAACACGUAUCCAACCUUCCCAGAACUCGGGGAUCGCCUUUCGAAAGAAAUAUUAAUACCCGAUAGUUGUUAUAUAGGGCCUCCUACAUAAGUUAAAGAUUUAUUGGCUAUGGAUGGGGAUGCGUUCCAUUAGAUAGUUGGUGGGGUAACGGCUAACCAAGUAUUCGAUGGAUAGGGGUUAUGAGAGGAAGGUCCCCCACAUUGGUACUGAGACACGGACCAAACCCCUACGGGAGGCAGCAGUGAGGAAUAUUGGUCAAUGGGCGAGAGCCUGAACCAGCCAAGUAGCGUGAAGGAUGAAGGUCCUAUGGAUUGUAAACUUCUUUUAUAGUAGAAUAAAGUGAUCCACGUGUGGAUUUUUGUAUGUAUACUAUGAAUAAGGAUCGGCUAACUCCGUGCCAGCCGCCGCGGUAA